AGCUGGUGUUGUGAAUCAGGCCGACGAGCAGCGCAUCCUCUUACCCGGCUAUUUCACGACACCAGGGUUGCACCCUACCCAUCCUCUCCAGGCAAGCGCCGUGGGACCACAGGACACAGGAACUUGGGGACAGGGUGGGUUGGGACAACUGACUGUGAAAGGUGAUGUUCAGUAGUCCAUAGCCUCCCUAUCAUACCUCACCUCAUAGUCACCUGGGAAGCUUUAGACAGAUGCCAGGGUCUGCCCUCCCCUUGCUCAGCCCAAGCCCACAAAGGCUCUGAGGUGUGAUCUCAGAGCCAGCGAUCCUGAGAGGUUCUAAUCCACGUGCAGCGAGGAGGAAGCAGGCGAGCCCAGGGCUCAGAGUUGAACUGCUCCCCUGUGCUUGGCUGACCGUGCAGUGGCAUCUGCCGGCCCUCCCCAGUCCCACUCCUUUAGAUUUGAUGUACACCACCCAACUGCUGCUCCUGGUACCAAAACACCCAGGGCAAAAGCAGCUCCUCUUCCUGGCAUCCAAAGCCCUUCCUGUCAAGGAUUCCUACUCAGAGACAUCUCUGUCCAUGGAGCUCUCCCACCCCACCCUCC
rnacentral:lncRNA from 1 species